GUCUGUCUACGUUUUAAAAUUUAAGUGAGGGGAGAUAGAGUUAGUUGAGUUUGAGCCGAGGAUUGAAUUGGUUGUGAUCGCACAACAAAAAGGUGAUAUCAAAGAGUAUGUGUUGUUGGUCUUCUCUACUUUGCCUUCAUUAAGCAAAUAAUGCAAUUGUAAUUAAAUAGAAGAAAAAAAAA